CAAGUAAUCAUCCUUCAAAUUUAGAUGCUAAGAUUGAAAAUAAACCAGCUUAAAAAAUCUGGUUAAGAAGAUUGAAUGCUCUAUAGAAACAAUUUUAAAGGAAUUUCUAAUUGCUGAAAGCAACACCAAUUAAGAGCUAUAACUGUAUCAAAGCAUGUUGAAGAUAUGACCCUUGCUAAUUCUGCAGUUUCCUUGGUAAACACUAUCAAUCAAGUUAUCAAAAGAUUCAUAGUUACCAAUUGUCGGGCACCACAACAAAUAAUUAGUGAAUUGAUAGGGAGAAUGUUCUACAUAGGCCUCUAUCAUCCAAUGUUCAAGACUCAGAAUGGCGAUCAAAAUUUUGAGGGAUAUGAUCUUGAGGACUAGGUAAGCAUAACAGAAGCAAAUGAUGCUGGAGCAUUUCUUUGCGUCCAUAUCCAUGGCAUAUGACGUGACUGGUUGCUAUUUAGAGGUCAAGAUGACAAAAUAAGACAACUAUUUUGAAUUGUUUUAGUAUUUAAUAAUUAAUUGAAGUGUUUCUUUGUAAGAAAACGAAUCUACUGUUUGGCACUGUACAUGCUACAAUACUGUGAAAAGUGAAUAGCAUACAUGACUUUUCAUUUAGGAGUUUUAGUUAGGUCUCAUUAGUGUCCAGCUAGAAAAUCUUAGAUAAAAUUUAAAGCAUGGUUCUAGGGAUUUUAAUUGGAGUGAAAUGAAUAGGUGGUAGCUGAUUUCUCUAGGUACUUUCCAAUUUGAAGAAUGCUAGUUUGCAUGUAAGAGAGGUCGCUGGAUAAAAGCAUUGUAUGUGGCUGUUGAAAGAAAGAAAGGAUAUNNNNNNNNNNNNNNNNNNNNNNNNNNNNNNNNNNNNNNNNNNNNNNNNNNNNNNNNNNNNNNNNNNNNNNNNNNNNNNNNNNNNNNNNNNNNNNNNNNNNNNNNNNNNNNNNNNCUAUGUUGUUUUCUUUAAAAGCUCUUCUUUGGACCUAUAACUCACCUGAAGACCUAUAGCAGAAAUUUUUGGCCUUCUUUUUUGAAAGAGAAGAUAGCAGGGACCAUUAAUUCAUUUCAUGGGUACUGAAAUGAAUACAAGCAAUCCAAGAGUCAAAACUAAAUUAAGAAAGCAAGAAAUUGAAAUAUCUUGGUCUUUACUAGGGCAAGUUGAUAGCACUCAACAUCCUUGAUUAAGUCUCCAGUUGAUGACACUAACAAAAAGUUUGCCAAUUCCUUCCUCUCCAGGCAAAUCACCAGAGAGCCAAAACAGUAAAGUAAUAAGUCCAAAGGAUAGGGCAGAAAACAGGUUGGAUAAUUUCCAACCAUACUCAAUUUGGAUUGGAUUCAGAUACAAAUUCUAGUAUCCAAUGGGAUCUAGAUACUUACCAAUAAAUCUUGCCAGAUCUAAAACUGGAUUCAGAUUCUAAAGAUUUAAGAAAGGAUUUCUCUGCCUUUCUUUCCAACUUUAUUUUUUUCUCUCUCCGUCAUGUUUUUGGAUUAAAAAUAAGUUCCAAGACUGAUGCUCUCCCCAGCAUAUCAAAUAUGAGAAGAAGGUUUUGACCACAUGCAUGAUGAUAUGACAUCUAUGAAAAAUCAUCUCACAUCCAAGCUAUGUUGCAAGCAUGUGCUACAACCUUAGGCAUUCGGCAGUGCACUGAUGCAGAUGAAGGCCCAUCUUAUGGCAUUGAGAAUGUAACAGCUGAAAGCGAGGAUUUAUACAUUGAAAAUCAUGUAAGUGCUCAUCCUUCAAAUUUAGAUGCUAAGAUUGAAAAUGCACCAGCUUAAAAAAUCUGGUUAAGAAGAUUGAAGGCUCUAUAGAAACAAUUUUAAAGGAAUUUCUAAUUGCUGAAAGCAACAUCAAUUAAGAGCUAUAACUGUAUCAAAGCACGUUGAAGAUAUGACCCUUGCUAAUUCUGCAGUUUCCUUGGUAAACACUAUCAAUCAAGUUAUCAAAAGAUUCUUAGUUACCAAUUGUCGGGCACCACAACAAAUGAUUAGUGAAGUGAUAGGGAGAAUGUUCUACAUAGGCCUCUAUUAUCCAAUGUUCAAGACUCAGAAUGGUCGAUCAAAACUUUGAGGGAUAUGAUCUUGAGGACUAGGUAAGCAUAACAGAAGCAAAUGAUGCUGGAGCAUUUCUUUGCGUCCAUAUUGAAGUGUUUCUUUGUAAGAAAACGAAUCUACUGUUUGGCACUGUACAUGCUACAAUACUGUGAAAAGUGAAUAGCAUACAUGACUUUUCAUUUAGGAGUUUUAGUUAGGUCUCAUUAGUGUCCAGCUAGAAAAUCUUAGAUAAAAUUUAAAGCAUGGUUCUGGGGAUUUUAAUUGGAGUGAAAUGAAUAGGCGGUAGCUGAUUUCUCUAGGUACUUUCCAAUUUGAAGAAUCCUAGUUUGCUUGUAAGAGAGGUCACUGGAUGAAAGCAUUGUAUGUGGCUGUUGAAAGAAAGAAAGGAUUUCUCUGCC
rnacentral:lncRNA from 1 species